rnacentral:rRNA from 1 species
UACGUAGGGUGCAAGCGUUAAUCGGAAUUACUGGGCGUAAAGCGUGCGCAGGCGGUGAUGUAAGACAGAUGUGAAAUCCCCGGGCUCAACUUGGGAACUGCAUUUGUGACUGCAUCGCUGGAGUGCGGCAGAGGGGGGUAGAAUUCCACGUGUAGCAGUGAAAUGCGUAGAGAUGUGGAGGAACACCGAUGGCGAAGGCAGCCCCCUGGGUCAAGAUUGACGCUCAUGCACGAAAGCGUGGGGAGCAAACGAGGAUACGAAAC